rnacentral:rRNA from 1 species
AUUGAACGCUGGCGGCAGGCCUAACACAUGCAAGUCGAACGGUAGCACAGAGAGCUUGCUCUCGGGUGACGAGUGGCGGACGGGUGAGUAAUGUCUGGGAAACUGCCUGAUGGAGGGGGAUAACUACUGGAAACGGUAGCUAAUACCGCAUAAUGUCGCAAGACCAAAGAGGGGGACCUUCGGGCCUCUUGCCAUCAGAUGUGCCCAGAUGGGAUUAGCUAGUAGGUGGGGUAACGGCUCACCUAGGCGACGAUCCCUAGCUGGUCUGAGAGGAUGACCAGCCACACUGGAACUGAGACACGGUCCAGACUCCUACGGGAGGCAGCAGUGGGGAAUAUUGCACAAUGGCGCAAGCCUGAUGCAGCCAUGCCGCGUGUGUGAAGAAGGCCUUCGGGUUGUAAAGCACUUUCAGCGGGGAGGAAGGCAGUACGGUUAAUAACCGUGUUGAUUGACGUUACCCGCAGAAGAAGCACCGGCUAACUCCGUGCCAGCAGCCGCGGUAAUACGAGGGUGCAAGCGUUAAUCGAAUUACUGGGCGUAAAAGCGCACGCAAGGGCGGUCUGUCAAAGUCGGGAUGUGAAAAAUCCCGGCUCAAACCUGGGAAACUGCAUCCGAAAACUGGCAAGGCUUGAGUCUCGUAGAGGGAGGUAGAAUUCAGGU